UCGAGAAUUUUUCACAAUGGGGGAAACCCUGAUGGAGCGACGCCGCGUGGGGGAUGAAUGGCUUCGGCCCGUAAACCCCUGUCAUUCGCGAACAAAUUGGUUCACUUAAUACCUGAACCAUUGAUAGUAGCGGAAGAGGAAGGGACGGCUAACUCUGUGCCAGCAGCCGCGGUAAUACAGAGGUCCCAAGCGUUGUUCGGAUUCACUGGGCGUAAAGGGUGCGUAGGCGGUCGGGUAAGUCUGAUGUGAAAUCUCACAGCUUAACUGUGAAACUGCAUUGGAUACUAUUCGGCUUGAGAGUUGGAGGGGGGACUGGAAUUCUUGGUGUAGCAGUGAAAUGCGUAGAUAUCAAGAGGAACACCAGUGGCGAAGGCGAGUCCCUGGACAACUUCUGACGCUGAGGCACGAAAGCUAGGGGAGCAAACAGGAUUAGAUACCCCCGUAGUCC
rnacentral:rRNA from 1 species